rnacentral:rRNA from 1 species
ACCAGACUCCUACGGGAGGCAGCAGUGAGGGAUAUUGGUCAAUGGGGGAAACCCUGAACCAGCAACGCCGCGUGAGGGAAGACGGUUUUCGGAUUGUAAACCUCUGUCCUCUGUGAAGAUAAUGACGGUAGCAGAGGAGGAAGCUCCGGCUAACUACGUGCCAGCAGCCGCGGUAAUACGGAGGAUGCGAGCGUUAUCCGGAUUUAUUGGGUUUAAAGGGUGCGUAGGCGGUCCGUUAAGUCAGCGGUAAAAUUGCGGGGCUCAACCCCGUCGAGCCGUUGAAACUGGCAGACUUGAGUUGGCGAGAAGUACGCGGAAUGCGCGGUGUAGCGGUGAAAUGCAUAGAUAUCGCGCAGAACUCCGAUUGCGAAGGCAGCGUACCGGCGCCAGACUGACGCUGAGGCACGAAAGCGUGGGGAUCGAACAGGAUUAGAUACCCUGGUA